UGCGCAUGCAUGUCUAUUUUUGUUGAAGGAAAAACCCAAACUGGGGUAAUUCUUUCUAGAUGUAACGCGGUGUAAUUAAUUCGGAUUAACUAAACCCGGUUCGACCCUGGGUUUAGAUUUCAUAGUGUGAACACGGUAUAAGUGUAUCAUCUCAUUACAGUGAUUGUGUUCAGUUAAAGCAGUAAGUAGCAUUACCCUGAUAGUAUGGGCAAAUUAAUAUGAUAGGCACAUAUCAAACUAUUCUUUGAAUAACAAAUAGACUGUUAACAUUCAAAAUGGUCUUUUGACAAUCAUUCAAGGGAAUAAACUCUAUCAAACAUUUUGGAUUUCCAGAUGAAGAUAUA
rnacentral:lncRNA from 1 species